UGGGGAAUUUUGGACAAUGGGCGAAGCCUGAUCCAGCAAUGCCGCGUGUGUGAAGAAGGCCUUCGGGUUGUAAAGCACUUUUGUCCGGAAAGAAAUCCUUGGCUCUAAUACAGUCGGGGGAUGACGGUACCGGAAGAAUAAGCACCGGCUAACUACGUGCCAGCAGCCGCGGUAAUACGUAGGGUGCAAGCGUUAAUCGGAAUUACUGGGCGUAAAGCGUGCGCAGGCGGUUUGCUAAGACCGAUGUGAAAUCCCCGGGCUCAACCUGGGAACUGCAUUGGUGACUGGCAGGCUAGAGUAUGGCAGAGGGGGUAGAAUUCCACGUGUAGCAGUGAAAUGCGUAGAGAUGUGGAGGAAUACCGAUGGCG
rnacentral:rRNA from 1 species